rnacentral:rRNA from 1 species
GUCAGCAGCCAUACCACUCUGUAACUCACAACUGGCAACCCACUGAAGCUAAGCAGGUGUGAGCCUAGUCAGUACUUGGUGGGAGACCUCCAGGGAAAAACUAAGGUUGCUGCUGGAA